rnacentral:rRNA from 1 species
CGGAGGGUGCAAGCGUUAUCCGGAUUCACUGGGUUUAAAGGGUGCGUAGGUGGUUUUGUAAGUCAGUGGUGAAAGCCCGGAGCUCAACUCCGGAACUGCCAUUGAUACUGCUUAACUUGAAUCAGGUAGAGGUGGAUGGAAUAUUACAUGUAGCGGUGAAAUGCUUAGAGAUGUAAUAGAACACCGAUUGCGAAGGCAGUUCACUAUGCCUGCAUUGACACUGAGGCACGAAAGCGUGGGGAUCAAACAGGAUUAGAUACCCUGGUAGUCACGCCCUAAACGAUGUAAACUCGACAUUAGCGAUAUACAGUUAGUGUCUAAGCAAAAGCGUUAAGUUUACCACCUGGGAAGUACGACCGCAAGGUUG